UGCAGUCGACGGCAGCACGGGGGCAACCCUGGUGGCGAGUGGCGAACGGGUGAGUAACAUAUCGGAACGUGCCCUGGAGUGGGGGAUAACUAGUCGAAAGAUUAGCUAAUACCGCAUACGAUCUAUGGAUGAAAGUGGGGGAUCGCAAGACCUCAUGCUCGUGGAGCGGCCGAUAUCUGAUUAGCUAGUUGGUGGGGUAAAGGCCUACCAAGGCAUCGAUCAGUAGCUGGUCUGAGAGGACGACCAGCCACACUGGGACUGAGACACGGCCCAGACUCCUACGGGAGGCAGCAGUGGGGAAUUUUGGACAAUGGGCGCAAGCCUGAUCCAGCAAUGCCGCGUGAGUGAAGAAGGCCUUCGGGUUGUAAAGCUCUUUUGUCAGGGAAGAAACGGUGGAGGUUAAUACCUUCUGCUAAUGACGGUACCUGAAGAAUAAGCACCGGCUAACUACGUGCCAGCAGCCGCGGUAAUACGUAGGGUGCAAGCGUUAAUCGGAAUUACUGGGCGUAAAGCGUGCGCAGGCGGUUGUGCAAGACAGAUGUGAAAUCCCCAGGCUCAACCUGGGAAUUGCAUUUGUGACUGUACGGCUAGAGUGUGUCAGAGGGGGGUAGAAUUCCACGUGUAGCAGUGAAAUGCGUAGAGAUGUGGAGGAAUGCCGAUGGCGAAGGCAGCCCCCUGGGAUAACACUGACGCUCAUGCACGAAAGCGUGGGGAGCAAACAGGAUUAGAUACCCUGNUAGUCCACGCCCUAAACGAUGUCUACUAGUUGUCGGGUCUUUAUUGACUUGGUAACGCAGCUAACGCGUGAAGUAGACCGCCUGGGGAGUACGGUCGCAAGANUAAAACUCAAAGGAAUUGACGGGGANCCGCACAAGCGGNGGNNGAUGNGGNUUAAUUCGAUGCANCGCGAAAAACCUUACCUACC
rnacentral:rRNA from 1 species